GACAGAGGAGCCAAGCGUUGUCCGGAUUGACUGGGCGUAAAGCGCACGCAGGCGGCCCGGCGCGUGGGGUGUGAAAGCUGGCGGCUUAACUGCCAGAUGCCAUCCCAUACGGCUGGGCUCGAGCCCUGCAGACGGUCCGAUGGAAUUGCCGGUGUAGUGGUGAAUGCGUAGAGAUCGGCAGGAACACCCAGGGGGAAACCAGUGGACUGG
rnacentral:rRNA from 1 species